rnacentral:tRNA from 1 species
GGUGAGUUGGUCGAGUGGUCUAAGACGACACGUUAAGGCCGUGUUCCGCAAGGGCGUGGGUUCAAAUCCCACACUCAUCA